UACGUAGGCAGCGAGCGUUGUUCGGAGUUACUGGGCGUAAAGGGUGUGUAGGCGGUUCUUUAAGUUUGGUGUGAAAUCUCCCGGCUCAACUGGGAGGGUGCGCCGAAUACUGAGGGACUAGAGUGCGGGAGAGGAAAGUGGAAUUCCUGGUGUAGCGGUGAAAUGCGUAGAUAUCAGGAGGAACACCGGUGGUGUAGACGGCUUUCUGGACCGUAACUGACGCUGAGACGCGAAAGCGUGGGGAGCGAACAGG
rnacentral:rRNA from 1 species